rnacentral:sRNA from 1 species
GAUGUUUCCGUGUGCAUGCGUGUGUUUCCGCCGAGGAGGGGGCGCAGAGGGAGGAGGCCCGCGAGGAACGGCCCGCGAAUCAUAAAAUAAAAGGCCUUGCCUGUCUGAAAUCCUGAAGUGAAACUCCGUGUUAAGACGUGAGACCCACAGCAAACUACCAGGACGUAUAGAAAUGAAAACACAUGGGCACAGAAAUUGUACGCCAGGGCUUACCCACACUGUUCCAGUGAACCACGAAGGAAAGACCGCCCUAACAUCCACCCCCACUUGAAGGAGGAUUGAAGCCACCGCUUACGUGUUUGCCAAUGCACCAUCAAUUGGUAAAAAAUAGCGAAGGUAACGGCACACUACAAGACGCAUGCCAGCCCUGCAACACAUGUGACCUAAGAAUGAAUUUCCAGGACUUGUAAUUGGACGCUGAGAACCAUGAGAGCGCACACCACACGUAUGCGCAUGCACACAUGUAUGUGUGUAUGCACACGUGCCCUGCAGUGACUUUAAAAAUGGGUGUUGGAUACCCUGGAACUCCAGUGACACAUGGGUGUGAACGGCUGGAUGCCAGUGCUGGGAACCAAACUCGGGUCCUCUGUGAGAACCAAAGUGCUCCUAACCACUGAGCAUUUCUCUGCCCUCUUGGCUGUUAAUGUGCAGAUUAACAUCCUAAGUAAAUGCUUUCACGGUUACUGUUCUUACUUAGCCCGAAUGAUCUCUUGAAGUAAGCGCAGACUGGGUUUGGGCUCCAGCCAACAGCUCACAGGUCAUCUCUUGGCUUUUAGCAGAGAACACGACAUAUCCGUAUUUCCACCGAAUCGCCAUCAUCUCGCAUAAGCUAAUUAAUUGAUACUGCAAGGCCUGAAUCUCA